CAUCAGCCAGUGCAUCAUUCCCAGAUGAAUGUGAGCACGUACAAUAUGUUUUGAGUAGCCUUGCUUUGAGUUUCUUUGAGUUGCUGCUGUUCUUUGGAAGAGAUGAAUUUUAUGAAGAGCCCUUAAAGGAUAUUCUUGGAUCAUUCCAGGAAUGCCAGAAUCACCUCCGCAGAUAUGGAAAUGUGAAUCUGGAACUGGUGACUCGAAUCAUUAGAGAUGGUGGCCCAUGGGAAGAUCCUGUGUUGCAAGCUGUUCUAAAAGCCCAGCCCGCAUCUCAGGAGAUAGUGAACAAAUAUUUAAGUUCUGAAAAUCCACUAUUCUUUGAACUACGUGCCAGAUACCUAAUUGCUUGUGAACGCAUACCUGAAGCAAUGGCUCUUAUUAAAUGUUGUAUAAAUCACCCAGAAAUCAGUAAAGACUUGUACUUCCAUCAAGCACUCUUCACCUGUCUGUUUAUGUCACCUGUAGAAGAUCACCUAUUCCGAGAGCAUUUACUGAAAACUGAUUGUAAGAGUGGAAUUGAUAUCAUCUGUAACACUGAAAAAGAAGGAAAGACUAUGUUAGCCUUGCAACUCUGUGAAUCCUUUCUUAUUUCACAGCUCCAGAAUGGGGAUAUGUACUGUAUCUGGGAGUUGAUUUUCAUAUGGAGUAAACUUCAGCUAAAGUCUAAUCCUUCAAAACAAGUUUUUGUAGAUCAGUGCUACCAGCUUUUAAGAACAGCAACUAAUGUGAGAGUCAUAUUUCCUUUCAUGAAAAUCAUUAAAGAUGAGGUUGAAGAAGAAGGCUUACAAAUUUGUGUUGAAAUAUGUGGUUGUGCUCUACAACUAGAUCUUCAUGAUGAUCCCAAAACUAAAUGUCUAAUUUAUAAAACAAUUGCACAUUUUUUACCAAAUGAUUUGGAGAUUCUCAGGAUUUGUGCACUCUCGAUAUUUUUUCUUGAACGCUCCUUGGAAGCUUAUCAUACUGUUGAAGAGCUUUACAAACGUCCAGAUGAAGAAUACAAUGAAGGCACAAGUAGUGUUCAAAAUCGUGUUCGUUUUGAAUUACUUCCAAUUUUGAAAAAGGGAUUGUUUUUUGAUCCUGAAUUCUGGAACUUCAUAAUGAUUAAGAAAAACUGUGUAGCAUUACUGAGUGAUAAGUCAGCAGUUAGAUUUCUAAAUGAAAGUGCACUGGAAAAUUCUGCAGGUAAUGUAAAAAAGGCAUUGGAUCAGCACAGUUUAGAGGAAGGGCUUGACUCUCUUACAGAUCAGAGCCCUGGACAGCUUGAUCCUGAUGAUAUAUCUGGAGUGCAACCAAAAGGCCCUAUUAACGCAAAGAAAAACCUUACAGCUCUUAAUGCUUCCAGAGUAGAUCACAAUGUCCCAAGGCAUCGGUGUAUGUUAUGUAACAAGGAAUUUCUAGGUGGUCACAUUGUAAGGCAUGCCCAGGCUCAUCAGAAAAAGGGCAGUUUUUCAUGUGUGAUAUGUGGCAGGAAAUUUAGAAACAGAGGACUUAUGCAGAAGCAUUUAAAGAAUCACGUUAAGAAAAUACAGAGACAGCAAAUUGCUGCAGCUCAGCAAGAGGAUCAAGAAAAUCCUGCUUUAGAAGAAAUGAAUUGUUCUGAUACUUUCAUUUCAUUUGAAAAUGGGAAUUCUGAUAAUAAAGAUUUGGAAGUAGAGACUAUUACUGGUUCCAACAUAUAUGCAACAGAUCAAGAAGGAAAUUUUAAGUGCCCUGCUCUUGGCUGUGUCAGGAUAUUUAAAAGAAUUGGAUUUCUGAAUAAGCAUGCAAGGACUGUACAUCCAACUGAUUUAAAUGUGCGGCAAACAGUAAUGAAGUGGAGCAAAGGAAAAUGCAAAUUUUGUCAAAGGCAAUUUGAAGAUUCUCAACAUUUUAUAGAUCACCUUAAUAGACACAGCUAUCCAAAUGUGUAUUUUUGUUUGCAUUUUAAUUGCAAUGAAUCAUUUAAGCUGCCAUUCCAACUUGCUCAGCACACAAAAAGUCACAGGAUAUUUCAAGCUCAGUGUAGUUUUCCAGAAUGCCAUGAGCUUUUUGAAGAUCUUCCUCUGCUAUAUGAACAUGAAGCUCAGCAUUAUUUAAGUAAAACACCAGAAUCAUCUGCACAACCAAGUGAAGCAAUUCUUUGGGAUGUUCUUACAGACUCAAAAUCUAAUCAUCAGGAAAAAGACUCAUCUGGUAAUGAGAGACAGACUACUAGUCUGCCAGUUUCUACUAGCAAAUCAAGGAAAGAUAUUACAGAACCAAAGACAUGUAUAGAAAGUAUGGAAAAGAAAACAGACAGUUUAAUUCAGAAUGGAAAUGAACAUUCUGAUGACACUGUUUCUGAUACAAGCUUGACAGACCAAAAGAUGCCUGACAUAGAACCAAAUUCUGAAAAUAAUUGUAGUAUUAAUGAUUUAGUCAAUGGACACAGUGGAAUAGAGCAGACACCUUUAGUUUCAUCAGAUCCUGCUUUGAAAAUUGAUACAAAUAGAAUCAGGACAGAAAACGGUUCCAUUUUACCCAGUGUUGUACCACAAGAACACAAUACCCUGCCAGUAUCUCAGGCACCUUCCAAACCAAAUCCGACGAGCGAACACACUUCAUAUGGCUUAAUUUUAACAAAGCCAUAUGUCAGACCAUUGCCUCCCAGUUACCUUGAUGAACGGUACCUUAGUAUGCCAAAACGCAGAAAAUUUCUGACUGAUAGGGUAGAUGCCUGUUCUGAUCAAGAUAACGUUUGUAAAAAAUCAGUGAAAAGAUUAAGAUGUGGCAAAUGCCUGACCACCUACUGUAAUGCAGAAGCACUUGAGGCUCACCUUGCACAAAAGAAAUGUCAGACCCUCUUUGGAUUUGAUUCAGAUGAUGAAAGUAAGAAGCGACAUUGUUGGCGGCGUCCUCUCCCCCCAUUCUGGGGGUCGAGAUGACGGGGCUCAGCUACACGGAGAUGGAGGGCUGUCGUAACCUGCUCAGCCUAUUGGACAACGAUGAGAUCAUGGCCCUCUGCGACACCAUCACCAACCGUCUGGUGCAGCCUGAGGACCGCCAAGAUGCCAUUCGUGCAAUAUUAGUCUACAGUCAAAGUGUAGAAGAACUUUUGAGGCGAAGAAAAGUCCACCGAGAAAUCAUAUUUAAGUACUUGGCAACACAGGGUGUUAUUAUACCUCCAGCUACUGAAAAACACAAUCUUAUUCAGCAUGCAAAGGAUUACUGGAAAAAGCAGUUACAACCAAAAUUGAAGGAAACACCAGAGCCAGUUAAGACAGAGGACAUUAGACUCUCUGAACAGCAGGAGAAAGAAGAAAAAAACGCCGAAAAGGUUGAUUUUCGUCGAUUAGGUGAAGAAUUCUGUCAGUGGUUCUUUGAACUUCUGAAUUCUCAGAAUCCUCUUCUGGGACCACCUCAAGAUGAAUGGGGGCCACAGCACUUCUGGCACGAUGUCAAGCUUAGGUUUUAUUACAACACAUCUGAACAAAAUGUGAUAGACUACCAUGGAGCAGAAAUUGUGAGCCUUCGUCUGCUGUCACUAGUGAAAGAGGAGUAUCUUUUUCUCAGUCCCAACCUAGAUUCCCAUGGACUAAAAUAUGCUGCUUCUCCCCAUGGUCUUGUUAUGGUUGGAGUUGCUGGGACUGUGCACCGAGGAAACACUUGUUUGGGCAUUUUUGAACAAAUUUUUGGACUCAUCCGCUGCCCUUUCGUGGAGAAUACUUGGAAAAUCAAAUUUAUCAACCUGAGAAUUAUAGGAGAGAGUUCCCUUGCUCCUGGAAGAUUAAUGAAACCGGCUAUUACAUUUGAACCAAGUGACCUAGAAGCCUUUUAUAAUGUAAACACUUUAUGUGGUCCCGUGAAGUACAACUCCAUGUAAGGCAGGCACUGGACAGUGGGAUUGGAGACCAAGAUUCAUCUAGUGGAAGUUAGGCACUGUUGACCAAAAGAGAACUAAUUUUACCUAGCCCUUAAAGCACUGAGUACACUGUCAGUCUGAAAAAAUCUUCUAUACAGAAAUUCAUCCAAAUACUACAUCAGCAAUGUCUAAGUGAUUUCAUGUUGGGGGGUUGACAAAUUUUAGUUGAAAUGUCUUUCUUGACUACAAGCUAACAUAGUAUGUGAACACUUGCCUCUUUUCUACUUGAGUUGCAGCAAAUAUUCUGAAAAUUUCACAGAAUUCGUCAAAUAAAUCCCACUUGAGAUGUUGUAACUAACA
rnacentral:misc_RNA from 1 species